rnacentral:rRNA from 1 species
GUUGGAUAACUGAGGUAAUUCUUGAGCUAAUACACGCUUUUUAUACCACAUUAGUGGUGCGUUUAUUUGAUUAAACCAUUUUUUCGGUUGACUCAAAAUAUCCUCGCUGAUUUUGUUACUAAAACAUACCGUAUGUGUAUCUGGUUUAUCAACUUUCGAUGGUAGGGUAUUGGCCUACCAUGGUUGUGACGGAUAACGGAGAAUUAGGGUUCGACUCCGGAGAGGGAGCCUGAGAAACGGCUACCACAUCCAAGGAAGGCAGCAGGCGCGAAAAUUACCCAAUUUUAGUUAAAAGAGGUAGUGACGAAAAAUGACAACCAAAUAUUAUUUUUAGUAUUUGGAUUGAAAAUCUUCAAGUUUAAAUAACUUGUUGGUAAAGGAAAGGGCAAGUCUGGUGCCAGCAGCCGCGGUAAUACCAGCUUUCCAAGUGCAUAAAAUGAUUGUUGUGGUUAAAAAGCUCGUAGUUGGAUUAUAAAGAUUGUGUAAUGAGCAUCUUGGAUGUUAUUUUCAUUACCAUCUUAUUUUUUUAUUAUAUUAGAAAUAAUAUAAUAACUGUUACUUUGAAUAAAUCAGAGGGUUCAAACCAGGCAUUAUAUGCUUGUAUGGUCUAGCAUGGAAUAACACUAUAGAAAAAGUUAGUGUGGUUUCACUAUCUUUUUCAUGAUUAAUAGGAACAAACGGGGGCAUUCGUAUCGCUACGUUAGAGGUGAAAUUCUUGGACCGUAGCGAGACGUCCUACUGCGAAAGCAUUUGCCAAGAAUGUUUUCAUUAAUCAAGAACGAAAGUUAGAGGUUCGAAGGCGAUCAGAUACCGCCCUAGUUCUAACCGUAAACUAUGCCUACUAGGUGUAUGAAUUAUUAGUUAUAAUAAUUUAUGCACCUUCUCGGAAACGAAAGUCUUUCGGUUCCGGGGGAAGUAUGGUUGCAAAGCUGAAACUUAAAGGAAUUGACGGAAGGGCACCACCAGGAGUGGAGCCUGCGGCUUAAUUUGACUCAACACGGGAAAACUCACCCGGGCCGGACACUAUAAGGAUUGACAGAUUGAUAGCUCUUUCAUGAUUUAGUGGUUGGUGGUGCAUGGCCGUUCUUAGUUCGUGGAUAUGAUUUGUCUGGUUGAUUCCGAUAACGAGCGAGACUUUUAUGUUAUAUUAAAUUAUAUUAUUUUUUAAUAAUAUUAAUUUUAAUAACAGAUUAAUAGUGUUUAACUAUUUGAGAGAGAGCGAUAACAGGUCUGUGA